GCAUAUCAUUAGCAUCAUGGAUAUUCAAGGAAUUCAUACUAACAACAUUGCAAUCAUGCUCAUCAUUCAAAGAUUUAGUGCCAAACAUUUUAUUAACUUCUUCUUCUAACAAUUGAGCACAAUUUUCCUUUCCAUCAUUUUCACGAAAGACAAUAUAAAGAUGAAGCAUACGAGGCAACCUCAAUUCCAUUUUUUUGUAGUUUACUUUUAUAGACUAAACUUGUAACGCCCGGAUAAUUAGGCUACAGUAAAACUCUCCUAAUGAUGCCAUGUCAUCUCUGUUUGCUGUUGCUAAACUCUCGUUAGUUCAAAACCCGUUCAAAAGUCAAAUUCAAAAUAUGUCAAACAACAAAAGUUUUCAAAAGUUGAAACAAAAAUGUUCGGGCAGUGCCAAAAAUGGCAUAGGUAAUUAUGGUGUAGAAGACACAAUUUUAUAAAAAUAGUUAAAUGCCCUAAAUUAAAUAAAAUAGAAAAGGAAAAAAAAAAGAAAAUACAAAGGCAGAAGACAAAAAAAGAGAGAAAAGGAACCCCCCUGGACCAGACGGCCCAGCUCGCAGCCAGGCCGACCCACCUGGCCCAUCCGUCCGACCCGGCCCGUUCCCCCGGUCGCUCUCUCCCCUUCCCUGUUCCCCCGACCAGGGCCGGAACAAGGGCGCGUCCCCGCCGGACCCCCCUCGCCGGCGUCGAGGAGGGGAUAAGAUCGCCACGCACUCGCCUCCUUGAUCCCAUCUCCCACUCGCCCCCCGCUCGCCCUCUCGGUUCCUACGCCUCCCUCUCCCCUCAGAUCCAUCCCACCGCAUUCGAGCGCCGCCAUGGCCUCGCCGCCGUAGAACUCGUAGCCACCACGACCUCCGCACCUCUCCGACGUAUCCGCUCGCUCCACCUCCCUCGACUACGCCUCCCCGACGAGCCGCAGGACGCCGGGCGCCCACGAACGCUGCCCCGGCCUCGUCUUCUUCCUCGGAUCCCCAGCGCGUCUCCGACGAGCGCCGUCGACUCUGCUGCUACUAAACUCCCAAGGGCCAUCUUGCGUGCCGCACGGUGAGCUCCCCCAUCUCCCGCCCAUCUCCGUUAGCUCCCUCGCGCACCGUAGCUGCCUCGUCGCCGUUGCCGUGAGCACGUCGCCGCGGAUCGCCUCGCCGCCAUGGCCAUGCUCUCCGUCGUGCUCGCGUGAAAACGACAUCGUGUUCCUGGUGCUUCGAGGAACCCAACACGCACGCGCACACGCCUUCCCGUGCCCCCUAGCGCUGGAUCCACUGACGCCCGAACUCCGGCGUCCACUCCGCCGCUCGCCACCGCUGUCUCCGGCUGUUUCCGGCCAAACCCCCUCCACCGUUCGACGCGCCUCAACGCGCUUGUCUGUUCGGUCCCAAACACGCCUCGUUCGAACGCCCCGUAGCGCGAUCCCCGUCUGCGCCCGAACUACCGUCCGCCGCGCUUGUCGCCGGCGACCAUUCCGGCCACCCCCGCCGUCGUGCUCCCCUCCAUCGGACACGACGCGAAGAGGCUGUUCCAGAGAGCCUGCCCGCGCCCGAUUUGGUGCCCCGUAGGUGAAUCCCGAUGCUCGCCGGCGUUCGGCCGCUGCGCGCGAGCUCGCCGGAGCUACUGCGGCGGCUCUGCAGAGGUGGCACACAGGGGCCCACCCCCUGUGUCACUGCCUGUGGGCCUAGGGGCCCCAACUGGCCGCGUUGACCGAAGUCAACUUCGCUGAUGUGGCAGCUACUGCCACUGACAUGCGGGCCCGCGUCAUUUAAAACAUUUUUGUAAAUAAAUAAAAUGCUAAUUACUUCAUUAAUUAAUUUAAUUAACUAAAUAGUCACUGACUACUAGGCCCCACCCACUAAUUAAUCCAUUUAGUUAGUCUAAACCCCCCUGUUAGUGCCCCAGACAAUGACAUGUAGGUCCCACUGGACCCACCUGUCUGGUUUGACUGGUCAACCGACCAGUUGACCUGCUGACAUCACUCUAAUGUCAUGCCUCCGUCAUCAUUUACUAUUCUGGAUAAUGUUGGAUUUAAAUAAAUAAUUAAAAUCAGAAAAUGAUUAAAUCUUUAGAAAAUCAUAUAAAAUAAUCCGUAACUCGGAUGAAAAUACUUUCUACAUGAAAGUUGCUCAGAACGACGAGACGAAUCUGAAUACGCAGCCCGUUCGUCCACCACACAUCCCUAACCUAUCGAACUCGCAACUUUCCCCCUCCGGUUCAUCUGUCCGAAAACGCGAAACACCGGGAAUACUUUCCCGGAUGUUUCCCCCCUUCGCCGGUAUCACCUACUACCGCGAUUGGGCACGCCUAGCAUCACGCUUUGUCAUGUCAUGCAUCGCCAUGCAUUUGUUUGCGUUGUAUUUAUUGUUUCUUCCCCCUCUUCUCUUGCUAGACACCGAGACCGACGCCGCUGCUACCCAGUACGACUACGGUGUUGACGACCCCUCCUUCUCGGCUGAGCUUCCAGGCAAGCCCCCCUUGAUCACCAGAUAUCGCCUAUUCUACUCUCUACUGCUUGCAUUAGAGUAGUGUAGCAUGUUACUGCUUUCCGUUAAUCCUAUCCUGAUGCAUAGCUUGUCCUUGCUACUACUGUUGUUACCUUUACCUGCAAUCCUACAUGCUUAGUAUAGGAUGCUAGUAUUCCAUCUGUGGCCCUACAUUCUUGUCCGUAUGCCAUGCUAUACUAUCGGGCCGUGAUCACUCGGGAGGUGAUCACGAGUAUAUACUUAUAUACAUGAUAUAUGAUACCUGUGGUGACUAAAGUCGGGUCGGCUCAUAGGAGUACCCGCGAGUGGAUCUUUGUGGCGGAGCGAGAGGGCAGGUUGCGACCACCUAGGCGAGAGGUAGGCCUGGCCCUGGUCGGCGUUCGCGGUUACUUUAAAAUAACACGCUUAACGAGUUCUUGGUAUUUGAUCUGAGUCUGGCCAUUUGGUCUAUACGCACUAACCAACUACGUGGGAAAGUUAUGGGCACUCGACGUCGUGGUAUCAGCCGAAGCCUUCGUGACGUCAGCGACUGAGCGGCGCACGCCGCAUUGGACCGUAAGCUCGCACUUGUAUUAAGGGGGCUAGGUCUGCUUCCGGCCGCGUACGCAACGUGCAGGUGUGCAAUGGGCGAUGGGCCCAGACCCCUGCGCGCAUAGGAUUUAGACCGGCGUGCUGACUUCUCUGUUGUGCCUAGGUAGGGUUGCGACGUGUUGAUCUUCCGCGGCCGGGCAUGACCCAGAAAAGUGUGUCCGGCCAAAUGGGAUCGAGCGUGUUGGGUUAUGUGGUGCACCCCUGCAGGGAAGUUUAUCUAUUCGAAUAGCCGUGUCCCUCGAUAAAAGGACGACCCGGAGUUUUCCAUGACCUUAUGACAACUAGAACUGGAUACUUAAUAAAACACACCCUUCCAAGUGCCAGAUAUAACCCGGUGAUUGCUCUCUAACAGGGCGACGAGGAGGGGAUCGCCGGGUAGGAUUAUGCUAUACGAUGCUACUUGGUGAACUUACCAUCUACCCUCUCCUACAUGCUGCAAGAUGGAGAUGGCCAGAAGCGUAGUCUUCGACAGGAUUAGCUAUCCCCCUCUUAUUCUGGCAUUCUACAGUUCAGUCCAACAAUAUGGCCCUUUACACAUAUACCCAUGCAUAUGUAGUGUAGCUCCUUGCUUGCGAGUACUUUGGAUGAGUACUCACGGUUGCUUUCUCCCUCUUUUCCCCCUUUCCCUUCUACCUGAUUGUCGCAACCAGAUGCCGGAACCCAGGAGCCAGACGCCACCGUCGACGAUGACUCCUACUACACUGGAGGUGCCUACUACUACGUGCAGGCCGCUGACGAUGACCAGGAGUAGUUUAGGAGGAUCCCAGGCAGGAGGCCUGCGCCUCUUUCGAUCUGUAUCCCAGUUUGUGCUAGCCAUCUUAUGGCAAACUUGUUUAACUCAUGUCUGUACUCAGAUAUUGUUGCUUCCGCUGACUCGUCUAUGAUCGAGCACUUGUAUUCGAGCCCUCGAGUCCCCUGGCUUGUAUUAUGAUGCUUGUAUGACUUAUUUUAUUUUAGAGUUGUGUUGUGAUAUCUUCCCGUGAGUCCCUGAUCUUGAUCGUACACGAUUGAAUCAGGGGCGUCACAAGUUGGUAUCAGAGCCGACUGCCUGUAGGAAUCCCCCUUCCACACUCCCUGGCCGAAGUCGAGUCUAGACAUUGCAAAUUUUUUUACUAACAUGGUUGUGUGUCUUACGGGCCCAUGUCGCCAUUGGGUGGUACUAGGAUCUUUUACUCCUCGACCUUUACUCUGGGACUCUGAACUCUCUUCUACUCGGGUUAAACGAAUUUACUAACUCUAACACUAGGAUCCCGUGACCACAUUCACCCCAAAGUUGGAUAAGCCAUAGUUAUUUCUUAGAAUAGUGUUUUGAACAAUUCCCACACUGUCAUUUGACUCCUUUGAAACAUCUUUGCUUUCAGAUGGAACCCACGAGGCAGGUCGUGCGCCACACGACGGCCAUUGGUGCCUUGGGAUCACCUGCUGUGCUAGCUGAGAUGAUGACCUAUCUGGGUUAUCGCUGGCACCCUGAGUAUACCGUCUACGAGGAGUACCAGGACUUUAACUAGGAGCAGUAUCGUGCCAUCGUCCACCUUUACUCUCGGGAGUAUGACUCCACUACUGUGUUGCACACCGCUCAUGGUGUUGGAGUGACCAUCGAUAUGGCUGUCCAUGAUGCUGCUUAUGCUGCUCUGACACGUCUUCGUGGAGAGUAUCGGGAGUUGGACACCUCCCCUUUCAGGCACAUUGCUAUCGCAUCUGAUGUUGGUGCGGAGGGAUACUACACGGCUGCCUACUCCACUGUCACCCGAGAGCCCUUCUACCAUCAGAACCUAGUUCUGCAUGCUGAUGGGCUAGAUCGAGCUAACCGAGCUCUUCGCCACGAGUUGUACACCACCCGUCAGCACCUUUACCGUGCUCUGACGCUGUUGCACCCCUUGGUCCGAUCUAGAGAGCUGCCCCGUUCUGCGAUCUACCCAGCCAGGACUGUGAUGCCCCAGGGUGUCGGCUGGCCAGAUGUGGGAGGCUACUGUCCCGCACUUGGUCCUCUUCUGCCACCUGAGCGUCAGGUUCUGCACCAAAGUAUCCGCGGACCCCAGGUUGCUGACGUGGAGUUCCCGAUGCGACACUACCAGCUUUCAGGCUACACCUACCUCCACAGUACCUCUUGGGAUUGAUGUAGGCUUGCUUGUUAGUGUUAGAUGCAUUUGCCGUGAGCCUGUGUGCCGCCUAUGGUGUUUUAGUCUAUGUACUGAACUCUGUGUACCGAACUCUAUGCAUGACCCCUUUUGUAAGUUAUGCCGACUACUAUGUAGUAGCUAUCGUGCUCCUUUCAUUAUGCAUGUUUCAUCAUGAAUGAUUCUUGUCUUUGCAAAUUUCUCAAUGCUGAACAACCCCUGUUACAUAUUAGCAGAAUGGUUAGACCAGGUGGUCGUGGUAGUGGUGGCAACGCCCCACCACCGCCUGGGUACAUGGCUGGUAUGAUCCAACAGUUCGAACUGAACCGCCAAUUCAUGGAAAAUAUGAUGGCUCAGUUUCCUCGCCCCAAUAUGAACCAGCAGCCAACCCCAGUAACUCUGCAGGAUUUCUUGCGCCUCAACCCAACUGUGUACCGCAGCUCAACUCAGCCUCUGGAUGCUGAUGACUGGCUCCGUGACAUCACCUAUGAGAUGGAGUCUGCCGAUGUAGCCCCUGCCAGCUAUGUCACCUUUGCUUCCUUCUUCCUGAAGGGACCCGCUGCUCAAUGGUGGGACAGCCACAGGCGUACUCUGCCAGCUGGAACAAUCAUCACCUGGCCAGACUUCCAAGGUGCUUUCCGUGCCCGCUUCAUUCCUCAGGGAGUCAUGGACCAGAAGAAGCGUGAGUUCCGCAACCUCACCCAAGGCAACAAAACUGUUGAAGCUUAUCAGCGGGAGUUUCUGGGCUUAUCUCGCUAUGCUGAAGAGGACAUUGCAACUGAUGCACACAGACAGGAGAAGUUCCGUGAUGGCCUUCAAGCUGACAUCAAGCUCGCACUUCUAGUGCAUGACUUUACUGAUUUCGCCACCUUGGUGAACAAGGCCAUCAAUGUCGAAACUGGUCUGCAGGAAUACCAGAGCUCUCACAGGCGCAACCGUGACACGGGCUCAUCUUUGGGCCCACCCUCGCAGAAGCGUAAGAUAUGGAUCCCGAACAACAUGUACCGUCCAAAUGCGCCUGCCCCAAGGCAGACCUAUGCUGCACCUCGUCUGCCUCCUCCACCAUCUAGGCAGCCAAGGCUUCCAGCUCCACCACCCCAAGCUCCUAUUCCCACUCCCAAUAAUGGUCCGUGCUACAAGUGUGGUCAACCAGGUCACCGUGCCAGGGACUGCAAUCAGAAUCAGAAUCAACUUGCCCUUCCCGUAGCUGGCCGUGGUAACAACCAGCCACGCAACAACAAUGCUAAGUCUUAUGGUUGUGUUCAUGCCAACCACGUUGAUCUGAACGAAGCUCAAGACCAGCCUGCUACUGUGAUGGGUACACUCCUUGUAAAUUCAGUACCAUCAUCCGUUUUAUUUGAUACAGGUGCAUCACAUUCAUUCAUGUCAGAAGAUUUUGCAUACAAGCAUGACGUUAAAUGUGAGGAGAUGAACACUUCGGUAGUGGUAAAAACCCCCAUGGGACAAUGUCAAAUCUCCAUGGUUGGCAUCGACGUCCCCGUGGAAAUCGAAGGGCUGGAAUUCUAUGCCUCUCCCAUUAUCCUGAAGUCGUCUACCAUGGACCUCAUUUUGGGGAUGGAUUGGUUGAAAGCGCAUACUCCUUCUAUAGUUUGCGCCACUAAGACCGUCCAUCUACUUCACCCUUAAGAUGAAAUAGUUACUUACCAAGCUCAUCUGGUGCAAAAUGCCGAGGCCAGGCUCUAUGCAUUGAUUGCUGCACCACUCGAGGGCAUUGAAAACAUUCCCGUCGUGCGCGAAUUCCUCGACGUCUUUCCUGAAGAACUUCCAGGGAUUCCCCCUGCUAGAGCUGUCGAAUUCAUCAUCGACUUGAAACCAGGCACCACUCCUAUAGCCAAGCGACCCUACAAGAUGCCGCCGCGUGAACUCCUUGAGCUUAAGGAGGAAAUCGACAAAUCUCUUCGCAAAGGAUUCAUCCGCCCAAGUUGCUCUCCUUGGGGAGCACCUUCUCUCUUUGUCAAGAAGAAGGAUGGGACAAACCGAUUAGUUUAAGACUACCGUCCUAUAAACCAAGCUACCAUUCAGAAUAAAUAUCCUCUUCCUCGGAUCAAUGAUCUAUAUGAUCAACUGGCGGGUUCAUCAGUGUUCUCUAAGCUCGACUUGAGGUUGGGUUACCACCAGAUCCGUGUUCGCGAAGAGGAUAUCCCAAAGACCGCCUUCAUGACUCGAUAUGGUUCAUACGAGUACACCGUCAUGUCUUUCGGUUUAACCAAUGCUCCAGCCACUUCCUCUCGUCUGAUGAACUAUAUAUUCAUGGAUUACCUCGACAAGUUUGUCAUGGUUUAUCUGGAUGAUAUCCUGGUAUUUUCCAAGAACGAAGAGGAACAUGCUGAACAUCUUCGUCUUGUGCUGGAAAAGCUACGAGAGCAUCAACUAUAUGCCAAGUUCUCCAAAUGUGAAUUCUGGCUACCCGAAGUAACCCAUCUUGGGCAUGUCAUCUCUACGGAUGGUAUUGCCGUCAACCCUGAACGAGUCCAGGCUAUCCUUGAUUGGACUCCUCCCAAGAACGUUAAGCAAGUCAGAAGUUUUCUUGGUCUCGCCAGCUAUUGCCGUCGAUUCGUCGAGAACUUCUCCAAGAUCGCCAGGCCUCUGACUAACUGGUUGCAUAUGGGCGUCAAGUUCCAAUGCACAGACAAAUGUCAAGAAAGUUUCCAGGCACUCAAAGACAAGUUGACUUCUACUCCAGUGCUUGCUCCACCUGAUACUAAGAAGGACUUCGUCAUUUACUGCGACGCUUCCCGUCAAGGAUUAGGCUGUGUCCUAAUACAAGACCGCAAAGUGAUUGCUUAUGCCUCUCGGCAAUUGCGCCCUCACGAAGAGAACUACCCAGUUCACGACCUCGAACUUGCUGCUGUCAUUCAUGCGCUGAAGCAGUGGCGACAUUACCUUCUCGGUAAUCGUUGCGAGAUCUUCACCGACCACCAAAGUCUGAAGUAUCUGUUUACUCAGCCAGACCUGAACCUCUGUCAGCAGAGAUGGAUGGAGAUUGUUGCAGAUUUUGACUUGGGUAUAUCCUAUACGCCAGGCAAGGCUAAUGUAAUGGUUCAUGCCUUGAGCCGCAAGUCUUACUGCAACCACCUCCAGGUUCACAAAGUUCAGCCCUCGCUUGUUGAAGAAUUCAGAAAGCUGAACCUCCAUAUUGUUCCUCCGGGUGCACUCGCUCCCCCUCCUAAGGAGUUUUGCAAGAUGAACCUCCGGGUUGUUUCCCAGGGUUCCCUCAAUACCUUGGCUGUCGAACCAGAUCUCUUGGACUCCAUCAAGAGAAUACAGGGAUAUGACUCUGAAGCCCACAAGAUUAAGCGCUACCUCGCAGAAGGAAAGCCCUCAUUCUUCACUAUUGCUGAUGAUGGCGCUUUGUACUUCAAGGGCCGCCUAGUGGUGCCAUGUGCAGAGAAAAACCUGGAUAUGACUCAGGAAGUUAUGAAAGAAGCUCAUGAUACGCCUCUAUGUAUCCAUCCUGGUAGUACAAAGAUGUACCAAGACAUCCGUCAGAGAUUCUGGUGGUCUAAUAUGAAGCAAGACAUUGCUCGUUAUGUUGCCGAGUGUGACGUUUGCCGUCGUAUCAAAGCAGAACAUCAAAGGCCUGCUGGAACUCUACAACCUAUCUCUAUUCCUGAAUGGAAAUGGGAAGAUGUCGAGAUGGACUUCGUCACUGGAUUUCCCAAAUCGCAGAAAGGUAAUGAUGCAAUUCUUGUCGUCAUUGACCGACUUUCUAAGGUUGCACAUUUUCUCGCAGUCAAAGAAACGAAUACUGCUAGUCAGCUGGCAACGCUCUAUAUGUCCAGGAUUGUUUCACUCCAUGGUAUUCCAUUGGUUAUCAGCUCAUACUGUGGCAGCUUAUUCACUUCAAGAUUCUGGGCAAGUUUCCAAGAAGCUAUGGGAACUCAUCUGUCAUUCAGUACUGCGUUUCAUCCUCAGUCGCAAGGGCAAGUUGAACGUGUCAACCAAGUUCUCGAAGACAUGCUUCGAGCUUGUGUUAUUUCCUUCGGCAAGAAAUGGGAGGAAUCUCUCUCGUAUGCUGAGUUCUCUUAUAAUAAUAGCUAUCAAGCUAGUCUGAACAUGGCCCCCUGCGACGUGUUAUAUGGACGAAAGUGCCGAACCCCUUUGAACUGGUCAGAAACUGGGGAACGUCCACUCUUUGGUCCGGAUAUUAUCCAACAUGCCAAAGAACAAGUCCGCAUUAUUCGUGAGAAUCUAAAGACUGCUCAGUCACGUCAGAAGAGUCAGUAUGACCAUAAACAUAAAGACAUGGUCUAUCAACCCGGCGAAAAGGCUUAUCUUCGAGUUACACCAAUGAAGGGUGCUCACCGCUUCGGGAUCAAGGGCAAGCUAGCUCCUCGCUAUAUUGGCCCAUUCACUAUUCUCGAAAGGCGUGGAAAAGUGGCAUAUCAACUUGAACUUCAGCCGAACCUUUCUCAGGUUCACGAUGUGUUCCACGUGUCACAGCUCCGCCGAUGCUGAAUGGAUCAUGAAGUGCUCGAAUUGCAACAGGACCUCUCCUAUAAAGAGCAUCCGGUCCGCAUUCUCGACCAAGCUGAACGCCGCACACGUCAGAAGGCGAUCAAGUUCCUCAAAGUCCAGUGGUCGCACCAUUCUGAAGAUGAAGCCACCUGGGAACGCGAGGAUCGCCUACGUGAUGAAUACCACGCAUUGUUUCCUUCUACCUCCUAAAUCCUGGGACGAGAUUUCUUGUAGUGGAGGAGAUUUGUAACACCCGGAUAAUUAGGCUAUAGUAAAACUCUCCUAAUGAUGCCAUGUCAUCUCUGUUUGCUGUUGCUAAACUCUCGUUAGUUCAAAACCCGUUCAAAAGUCAAAUUCAAAAUAUGUCAAACAACAAAAGUUUUCAAAAGUUGAAACAAAAAUGUUCGGGCAGUGCCAAAAAUCGCAUAGGUAAUUAUGGUGUAGAAGACACAAUUUUAUAAAAAUACUUAAAUGCCCUAAAUUAAAUAAAACAGAAAAGGAAAAGAAAAGAAAAUACAAAG
rnacentral:lncRNA from 1 species